rnacentral:rRNA from 1 species
GACGAACGCUGGCGGCGUGCUUAACACAUGCAAGUCGAACGGAAAGGCCCCUUUGGGGGUACUCGAGUGGCGAACGGGUGAGUAACACGUGAGUAACCUGCCCUUGACUUCGGGAUAACUUCAGGAAACUGGGGCUAAUACCGGAUAGGAAUCCUUGCUGCAUGGUGGGGGUUGGAAAGCUUCGGCGGUUUUGGAUGGACUCGCGGCUUAUCAGCUUGUUGGUGGGGUAGUGGCUUACCAAGGCUUUGACGGGUAGCCGGCCUGAGAGGGCGACCAGCCACAUUGGGACUGAGAUACGGCCCAGACUCCUACGGGAGGCAGCAGUGGGGAAUAUUGCACAAUGGGCGGAAGCCUGAUGCAGCAACGCCGCGGGCGGGAUGACGGCCUUCGGGUUGUAAACCGCUUUCAGCAGGGGCGAAGCUUGUGGUGACGGUACCUGCAGAAGAAGCACCGGCUAACUACGUG